UCCUCGGACGGUUCCGGGCGCAGUUCGCCAACUACAGGCCGUGGGGCGCCCGGAACAUUUGUUGAACUCUGCCCACAUUCCGGGAUUCUGGCAGUGAGUUAGACUACCCAGGUCCCAGGCCCAAGCAGAACCUUGAGUAGGAAGUCUCCUUUUCCCAAGAAAAGAAGUAAGCAGGAUCCGUCCAUACAGGUUUUAUGAGAGAGAGAGUGAUGACUUCCAAGAGCCUCAACCAUGAAGGAUCACCAGAGAGGCUGUGUGUAAUCCAGACCGAGGCAGAAAAAGUAUUAUGAGGGAUCAAGGAGAAGUAGCAAAAGCAGCGUGAGACUGGACAGUAAAAAAGGAUAACGGUUCCCACCAGCAAUCCUGAUGUACAGACUUCCAUCAUUUGCACCCACAACCCUAGACUCUUAAAGAUGAAUUUCUCUCAAGAGCAAGCAGCUGUUUCGCCAAAGCUACAUUGAGUUUAUUUCUAUAGGAUAAGAUUAUUAUGUGAAGAGUCUCUCUCUCCCCAAAUUUCUGAUUCUUUCCCUCUUGUUUUAUUUUAUUGGCCACAGCAUCAAACCAAGUAAGCUUCUUCCAGCUCAACCCCAUUAUCUGCUUUGUCUAUCCAUGCACACUUAAAGUUGCUCUUAAGAGGAGCUAUAUUUUUCUGUGGGAACAGAUGAAAUAUAGUUUGUCAUGAGAAUCAGCGAGGACCAUCUGGAAUAGUUUCAGGGAGGACCAAAUAAAACCCAAUCAAAUAUGUUCGAGAAGCAAAAGAAGUUUAAUGUGGCAUUUUUAUCCACUAAUUUUAAAGGUUGAGUUGCCAGUGUUGAUAGGGGCCUAUCCUCUGAAUAUAAUCACACAAGUAUGCCAUAUAUAUUUGUAGGAGCAGGGUUUGUCAUCACAAAAGACUGGAAAUAACCUAAAUGUCUAUCAGUAGGGAACUCGUUAAAUAAAUCAGUUUACCCACAUAGUGGAUGGAUACUGUGCAGCUAAUGAAAAAAUA